CCUACGGGAGGCAGCAGUUGGGAAUUUUGCACAAUGGACGAAAGUCUGAUGCAGCAACGCCGCGUGCGGGAUGAAGAUUUUCGGAUUGUAAACCGCUUUUAUUUGGGAGUAACUGUUUGAACGUACCAAAUGAAUAAGCACCGGCUAACUCCGUGCCAGCAGCCGCGGUAAUACGGAGGGUGCAAACGUUGCCCGGAAUUACUGGGCGUAAAGCGCAUGUAGGUGGUCUAAUAAGUGAACGAUUAAAUACCGACGCUUAACGUCGGAAAGGUUAUUCAUACUGUUAGACUCGAGGAAGACAGGGGCAGAUGGAACUUUAAGUGUAGGAGUGAUAUCCGUAGAUAUUUAAAGGAACACCAAUGGCGAAGGCAGUCUGCUGGGUCUUUUCUGACACUGAGAUGCGAAAGUGUGGGGAGCAAACGGGAUUAGAUACCCCGGUAGUCCACACUGUAAACGAUGCUCACUAGGUCUUGGAGGGUAUCGACCCCCUUUUGGACCGAAGCUAACGCGUUAAGUGAGCCGCCUGGGGAGUACGACGACAGUAACUACAAGAGUAGUAGAGNGNGAGNGCGAACGAGACGACGAGAGGAG
rnacentral:rRNA from 1 species